UUUAAUGACUCUCGGCAACGGAUAUCUCGGCUCUCGCAUCGAUGAAGAACGUAGCGAAAUGCGAUACUUGGUGUGAAUUGCAGAAUCCCGUGAACCAUCGAGUUUUUGAACGCAAGUUGCGCCCGAAUCCAUCUGGUUGAGGGCACGUCUGCCUGGGCGUCACGUA
rnacentral:rRNA from 1 species